UACGGAGGGUGCGAGCGUUGUUCGGAAUUAUUGGGCGUAAAGCGCGCGUAGGCGGCUCUUCAAGUCUUACGGUGAAAGGCCGGGGCUCAACCCCGAGCAUGCCGGGGAUACUGGGGGGGCUGGAGACAGGUAGAGGCCAGCGGAAUUCCGGGUGUAGCGGUGGAAUGCGUAGAGAUCCGGAAGAACACCGGAGGCGAAGGCGGCUGGCUGGGCCUGAUCUGACGCUGAGGUGCGAAAGCGUGGGGAGCGAACAGGAUUAGAUACCCGGUAGUCCCU
rnacentral:rRNA from 1 species